UUUAUUCGGCUGGAAAGCGAAAAUUUUUGUUAUUCAGAAAAUGUAAUAUAACGUAGUUUGGGUGAGCUUUCCAUCUCGACAUUGUGGUGUGUUUGUCACCCGUUAAUUGGACACAAACACCUUCCUUUCCACCGCUUUCAAUAAAAAAUCCACCCGGUAGGAAUAUUAUAUUUUGAUUAUUAGUUACACUAUUUAUCGCGCCUAAAAGUGUAGUGUAUACUAGUCUGGGAGCCGUUUUUCUUGUGGCGAUUUUUUAAAUGAAUUAUCUACGUAAAUAUUGAACCCACGGGGGGCGCCUCACCCCUGCCUUCCCCAUGGACAGUCCAGCAAUGUCUGCUUCCACUCCCCCUGUGUUUCCAGACCCAGAGAGUGAAGCAAAGCCAGAAUCAACCACCACACUAGAUAAAUAGCCAUUACUGUGACAAUGGAAUGUUGUCAGCGAGCAGCAUGGAAGACGCAGAGAUAGUGGUGGAGACAGGAAGAGAAUGUGGCCUGGAGAUUAACAAACACAAGACCAAUAAUCUUGUGACCUCCAUACACCCUUCCUAAUGUCAAUAAAGUUGUCUUAUCAUACCCAAAA